AGCCGUGUGAUCGACACAAAGCGAACUGUUCUUUCGCCUUUUACUAAAGAAUACCAUGUGUUGGUGACUCAUAGCAACAUACACCAAUUUUUGAAGGCUUCCAUCAUAAAAUGAAU
rnacentral:snRNA from 1 species